AGCGAACGCUGGCGGCAGGCCUAACACAUGCAAGUCGAACGAAGCCUUCGGGCUUAGUGGCGGACGGGUGAGUAACACGUGGGAACGUACCUUUUGGUUCGGAAUAACGCAGAGAAAUUUGCGCUAAUACCGAAUGAGCCCUUCGGGGGAAAGAUUUAUCGCCGAAAGAUCGGCCCGCGUUGGAUUAGGUAGUUGGUGUGGUAAAGGCGCACCAAGCCUACGAUCCAUAGCUGGUCUGAGAUGAUGAUCAGCCACACUGGGACUGAGACACGGCCCAGACUCCUACGGGAGGCAGCAGUGGGGAAUCUUGCGCAAUGGGCGAAAGCCUGACGCAGCCAUGCCGCGUGAAUGAUGAAGGUCUUAGGAUUGUAAAAUUCUUUUACCAGGGACGAUAAUGACGGUACCUGGAGAAAAAGCCCCGGCUAACUUCGUGCCAGCCGCCGCUGUAAGAC
rnacentral:rRNA from 1 species